rnacentral:rRNA from 1 species
CAGAGGGUGCGAGCGUUAAUCGGAAUUACUGGGCGUAAAGCGUGCGUAGACGGUUGCGUAAGUCAGAUGUGAAAGCCCCGGGCUCAACCUGGGAAUUGCAUUUGAGACUGCGUAGCUAGGGUGCGGAAGAGGGAAGCGGAAUUUCCGGUGUAGCGGUGAAAUGCGUAGAUAUCGGAAGGAACACCAGUGGCGAAAGCGGCUUCCUGGUCCAGCACCGACGUUCAGGCACGAAAGCGUGGGGAGCAAACAGGAUUAGAUACCCUGGUAGUCCACGCCAUAAACGAUGAGGACUAGACGUUGAGAGGGUAAGCCUCCCAGUGUCGCAGCUAACGCGAUAAGUCCUCCGCCUGGGGAGUACGGCCGCAAGGUUG